AACAGUAAGGACAGUGUCCGCUCCAUUGUCUUCAUUAAUGACCCAGCCAAAUUUGGACGUCCAAUUUUUGGCCUUACUUCCUGUCUUCUCUUCAAACCAUUAGAAACAAAUCUCGUCAACUAACAAACAUUAAACCUCAAAACCCACACGCAAAAAAUUUUUAAAAAUGGUGUCUCCUGAGUUAUCUCACUUCCAAUCUUCUCCCAUGGCAAAACCGCGAAACCGACCGUUUUGGUGUCUGUCCGAUGGCUUUCUUUUCUUUGGUGGUGCUUGUUUAGCUCUUUUGUUAGUAUGGUCAUUUUGGUCAUUUUUCACUCCAACUCCCUACUUCGACCCCACCAUGACCGAGCCGGCGUCCAAGUUGAGGAAGAAUCCGGUCGACUGCAUGGAAAGUGGGUUCGGAGUUAACCUAAAGUCCGACCCGAAAGAGCCGACCUUUUACGACGAUCCAGAGAUGAGUUACUCUUUAGAAAAGCCGGUGAAAGAUUGGGAUGAAAAACGGAAAGAGUGGCUAAAGCAUCACCCCUCGUUCGCCGCCGAAGCACGUGAAAGAAUCGUGCUUGUAACUGGGUCCCAACCAAAGGCGUGUAAGAAUCCCAUUGGUGAUCAUUUACUCUUACGUUUUUUCAAGAACAAGGUCGAUUACUGUAGAAUCCACGGCUACGAUAUUUUUUAUAACAACUUGUUAUUACACCCCAAAAUGAAUUCCUAUUGGGCAAAGUUACCGGUCGUUAAAGCAGCCAUGUUGGCUCACCCCGAAGCUGAGUGGAUCUGGUGGGUUGACUCCGACGCGGCGUUUACCGACAUGGAGUUUAAGUUACCGUUAGAAAGGUAUAAAAACCAUAACAUGGUUGUUCAUGGUUGGCCUAAGUUGAUUUAUCAAAGUAAAAGUUGGACCAGUUUAAAUGCUGGGGUUUUUCUGCUUAGGAAUUGCCAAUGGUCUAUGGAUUUGAUUAAUACUUGGUCUAGCAUGGGUCCGAUGAGUAAGGAUUAUGUUAAAUGGGGUCAGAUUCAAAGAUCAACGUUCAAAGACAAGCUUUUCCCGGAAUCUGAUGAUCAGUCGGCGCUGAUUUAUUUGCUUUACAAAGAAAAAGAGAAGUAUUAUGAUCAUAUUUAUUUAGAAGGUGAAUUUUACCUUGAAGGGUAUUGGGUGGAGAUUGUUGGAGGCUAUGAAAAUUCUACGGAGAGGUAUUUGGAAAUAGAGAGAGGGGCGCCUAAGUUGAGGAGGAGACAUGCAGAGAAAGUGAGCGAGCAAUACGCUGCGUUUAGGGAAGAGUUUCUGAAGGAAGCUGGGAAUGGGAAAGGAAGUUGGAGGAGACCGCUUAUCACGCAUUUCACGGGGUGUCAGCCUUGUAGUGGGGACCACAAUCAGAUGUAUGCUGGUGAAACUUGUUGGAAUGGGAUGGUGAAAGCUUUGAAUUUUGCUGAUAAUCAGGUUUUGCGUAAGUAUGGGUUCGUGCGCCCGGAUCUACGGGACUCCUCCACUGUUAUUGAAGUUCCUUAUGACUACCCUGCUGAUGAGGGUCCCUGGUAAAACAAAACAAAGCAAAAAAAAAAAAGAAGCUUAGUACAAGAAAUAAAGUUUUACAUAGAGAAUUGGUCACAUCAGCUUGAUGUCCUUUGAUUGGGAAGGAGUCCAUCUUCCUCAUGCCUUUAGAGAAUAGGUGAUUCAACGAUGAUCUCAACACAAUAAUGGUCUUGUAAUUGUCAGAAGCCACGAUAGCAAAAUUUUAGAUAAUCUUCAAUUAAUCCUGACUGUGACAGAGAUGUUUUACAGCCACCGAACUUCAUUUUUUUUCGAGAAGAUAAUAGCUACAGUGAAUCAAGGCUUGAAUCCCGGUGAUCUCAUGGCAUAACUCCUCUGUUCAUCCUUGCUAGUUACAUGGGAUGCAGUUGGAAUGGGGAAUGGGCUGCAUUUGAUACUGCUUGGACCGAGCUUACAGUAGUAGUUCAACUUAAGCCACGUCCAGCAGAAGUUAGUCCUUUUGGCAUCGUGCUUUCGGUCCCCGACCCUGGAACUUUUCCUUUGGGCGUGAUUGUUUCACUUGCUCGAGAUGUAUAGAGGUGCUAUGAAUGUUUUAUUUGGUCCAGGUCUAGGGCAAUAUAAGAAGACAUUCAUUAUUACAUGAUAGUUUGGUUGGGUAUCAGCUUGUUAUUAUGCUCGUGUAGCAUGAAACCUCCAUUGAUUUUGCCUUAAUCACAUGCAGAAAUGGGGUGCCUU